CUACGGAGGGUGCAAGCGUUAUUCGGAAUCACUGGGCGUAAAGGACGCGUAGGCGGGUUGGCAAGUCAGAUGUGAAAUCCUACAGCUUAACUAUAGAACUGCAUUUGAAACUGCUAACCUAGAGUAUGGGAGGGGGAGAUGGAAUUAGUGGUGUAGGGGUAAAAUCCGUAGAUAUCACUAGGAAUACCGAAAGCGAAGGCGAUCUCCUGGAACAUAACAGACGCUAAGGCGUGAAAGCGUGGGGAGCAAACAGGAUUAGAUACCCCAGUAGUCC
rnacentral:rRNA from 1 species